GACGAACGCUGGCGGCGUGCUUAACACAUGCAAGUCGAACGGAAAGGCCCUGCUUUUGUGGGGUGCUCGUGUGGCGCACGGGUGAGUAACACGUGAGUAACCUGCCCUUGACUUUGGGAUAACUUCAGGAAACUGGGGCUCAUACCGGAUAGGAGCUCCUGCUGCAUGGUGGUGGUUGGAAAGUUUCGGCGGUUGGGGAUGGACUCGCGGCUUAUCAGCUUGUUGGGGGGGUAGGGGCUUACCAAGCCUUUGACGGGUAGCCGGCCUGAGAGGGGGACCGGCGACAUUGGGACUGAGAUAGGGCGCAGACUCGUACGGGAGGCAACAGUGGAGAAUAUGGCAGAGUGGGGGGAAGCGUGAUGCAGCAGCGCCGGGUUCGGGAUGACGGCCUUCGGGGUGUGAACCGCUUUCGCCUGUGACGAGGCGUGAGUGACGGUAAUGGGUAAAGAAGCACCGGCUAACUACGUG
rnacentral:rRNA from 1 species